AUUGGUCAUUUCACUAUCUAAACUUAUCUAUAAGCCCCCUGCUCGACCCUUGGUGUUCAGAUGAUUAUGCUGGAGUUCUAAGAAGCUUCUCCCACCUUCUCCCUCUUUCUCUCUCUAGGGUUUUUCUCUCUCUACGAGAAAACCGCCGAUUCGAGUCGAUUUCGCGCCGUGCUCGUUGCUCGCUGCUUUGGCAACUCUCGGGAUGCUUCCAGCACGUGGGGAGGAAGUUUUUCUCUGAGGUUUCUUUGAGGUUUUCAGCAGUAAAGAGGGGUUCUUGUGACUGUGAAGGAACUACUUUAGCUCAGUAAAGGAGUUGCUAUAAAGCUGAACAGGUUAUUAAACCCCAUUAAACUAAAUUGGUGACCUUGAGAACUUAUCUACAAGGUGUCUUAGCCAGGGUAGGGUUAUAAUUAAUCCUUGGAUCAUUUUCAGCUGGUCGGUGAGAGCUUUUGGAAGCUUAACUUGAG